CUCUUAGAUGUUCUGGGCCGCACGCGUGCUACACUGAGUGGAUCAGCGGGUCAGGUUGCGCGAAAGCGUUUCCUAAUCUUUAAAUCCGCUCGUGAUGGGGAUUGACGGUUGCAAUUUUCUGUCAUGAACGAGGAAUACCUUGUAAGCGCGGGUCAUCAUCCCGCGCUGAAUACGUCCCUGCCCUUUGUACACACCGCCCGUCGCUCCUACCGAUUGAGUGGUCCGGUGAGGCUUUGGGAUCUGAGCGGAAAGAGCGUUUCGCUGUUUCUGCUCGGAAAACUCAGUCGAACCUUAUCAUUUAGAGGAAGGAGAAGGCGUAACA
rnacentral:rRNA from 1 species